rnacentral:rRNA from 1 species
AACGAACGCUGGCGGCAGGCCUAACACAUGCAAGUCGAACGCCCCGCAAGGGGAGCGGCAGACGGGUGAGUACCACGUGGGAACCUUCCCUAUAGUACGGAAUAGCCCAGGGAAACUUGGAGUAAUACCGUAUACGCCCGAAAGGGGAAAGAAUUUCGCUAUAGGAUGGGCCCGCGUAGGAUUAGCUAGUUGGUGAGGUAAUGGCUCACCAAGGCGACGAUCCUUAGCUGGUUUGAGAGAACGACCAGCCACACUGGGACUGAGACACGGCCCAGACUCCUACGGGAGGCAGCAGUGGGGAAUAUUGGACAAUGGGCGCAAGCCUGAUCCAGCCAUGCCGCGUGAGUGAUGAAGGCCUUAGGGUUGUAAAGCUCUUUUGGCGGGGACGAUAAUGACGGUACCCGCAGAAUAAGUCCCGGCUAACUUCGUG